AAACUAGGAUUAGAUACCCUAUUAUUAGGGAGCUUGACAUUGUAAGUAUAUAAAUAUUAUGGAAGGCAAAAAAUUAUGGCGGUAUCUUAAGCUUUUCAGAGGAAUUUGCUCUAUAAUGGAUAAAACACCUUAAUCUUACUUUAAUUGGUAAAAGACAGUUUGUAUACCACUAUUAAAAUAAUAAUAUACAAUUAUUAUUGAAGUAUAUUAUUUAUAUAUUUAAAUAAAAUUAAGUCAAGGUGCAGCAAAAAUUAAAGUAUGAAGUGAAUUACAGUCCUUUUUAGGUAAAAGAAAUGAAAAAAAGUUUAGGAUUUGAAAGUAAAAUUAAAAUAGAAAGUUAAUUUGAAUUAAGCUCUAGGAUAUGUACAUAUCGCCCGUCACUCUUUUUUAAGAUAAGUCGUAACAAAG
rnacentral:rRNA from 1 species